rnacentral:rRNA from 1 species
UAAUACGGGGGGGACGAGCGUUGUCCGGAAUUAUUGGGCGUAAAGGGCGUGUAGGCGGUAAAGUAAGUCGAAUGUGAAAUCUCACGGCUUAACCGUGAAACUGCGUUCGAAACUGCUUUACUUGAGUAUGAGAGAGGUGUGCAGAAUUCCUGGUGUAGCGGUGGAAUGCGUAGAUAUCAGGAGGAAUACCGGUGGCGAAGGCGGCACACUGGCUCAAUACUGACGCUGAGGCGCGAAAGCGUGGGGAGCAAACGGGAUUAGAUACCCCGGUAGUCCACGCUGUAAACGAUGGGUACUAGGUGUUGGAGGUCUCAACCCCUUCAGUGCCGAAGCUAACGCAUCAAGUACCCCGCCUGGGGAGUACGGUCGCAAGGCUG